UACGUAGGCAGCAAGCGUUGUUCGGAGUUACUGGGCGUAAAGGGUGCGUAGGCGGCCUUAUAAGUAUGGUGUGAAAUCUCCCGGCUUAACUGGGAGGGUGCGCUAUAGACUGUGGGGCUAGAGUGUGGGAGAGGAAAGUGGAAUUCCUGGUGUAGCGGUGAAAUGCGUAGAUAUCAGGAGGAACACCGGUGGUGUAAACGGCUUUCUGGACCAUAACUGACGUUGAGGCACGAAAAGCGUGGGUAGCAAACAGG
rnacentral:rRNA from 1 species